rnacentral:rRNA from 1 species
CGCCUCCUGCUAAACAAAUAUAAGAGGUACUGCCUGCCCGGUGACAUCUGUUUAACGGCCGCGGUAUAAUGACCGUGCAAAGGUAGCAUAAUCACUUGUCUCUUAAAUAGAGGCCUGUAUGAAUGGCAAAACGAAAACCCAACUGUCUCAUCAAAUUAAUCAGUGAAAUUGAUAUUCCCGUGCAAAAGCGGAAAUAAUUAUAUAAGACGAGAAGACCCUACGGAGCUUAAAACCUAAAUUAAUAAUUAAAUAACAUGAUCCACGGCUUUAGGUUGGGGCGACCACGGAGGAUAAUAAAACCCCCGAGAUAUAUAAUUAAGAAAAACAAUUCAAAAUAACACUACAAUUGAUAUAAUUGACCCAAUAAUUGAUCAACGAACCAAGUUACCCUAGGGAUAACAGCGCAAUCCUCUCAUAGAGUCCAUAUCGACGAGCGGGUUUACGACCUCGAUGUUGGAUCAAGACUACCAAAUGGCGCAGUAGCUAUUUAAGGUUCGUUUGUUCAACGAUUAAAGUCCU